GGCUCUGUGGCGCAAUGGACAGCGCAUUGGACUUCUAGUUGACGGCAAAUGAGGAGGGAUUCAAAGGUUGUGGGUUCGAGUCCCACCAGAGUCA
rnacentral:tRNA from 1 species